GUUGUAGCUCCUCCAGAUACGCCCCAUCUUACUACCAUGUGAUGCCAAAGCAAAAUGCCACUCCUGCUGCUGACAGAAGGUCAGAUCUAGACCAGAAUGAAAAACCAAAGAUUCUCACUACUCCCAUGGCUUGCAGCACGCCUGCUCAUUUCAAAAGAAAAAACCACAAAAAGUCAAAGUGGCACCUAGGCACUAUAACAAAGCGACGGAAGAUUUCACAGGCAAGAGAUGGCAGCCAGAGCACUGUGCAUGACAGAGCGGACAGCGACAUGGAGGAGGCUGGGAACACAGGAGAGUCCUCAGAAGAAAAUGAGAAGGAACAAGAUGCCUCUGGAAGCAAAACAGAAGUGAGAAGUCACAACUCAAGUACUUACAGUACUGAGAAUGAGCUCAAAGCCAGGAAGGUUGCAGCAUGUGUAGAAUUGAGAAAAGAUAAGAUUGUUUGCAACGGAGAUAUUUCUGGCUCUCAAAUAAUAGACAUUUCUGACGAAAAUGAAGCAAAAGACAUACGUGUUCUGCGAAUGACUCGAGCAAGACGCUCCCAAGUUGAGCAGCAGCAGCUCAUCAGCGUUGAGAAGGCUUUGGCGAUUCUCUCUCAGCCCACACCCUUACUUGUCGUGGACCAUGAGCGAUUAAAAAAUCUUUUGAAGACUGUUGUUAGAAAAAGUGAAGCCUACAAUAUAUUUCAACUGGAGAAUUUGUACGCAGUGAUCAGCCAGUGUAUCUAUCAGCACCGCAAGGACUACGACAAAACAGCACUCCUUCAGAAAAUGGAGCAGGAAGUAGAAGAUUUCAGUUGUUCCAGAUCAUGAUGGCACCCUAUCAAGUGCUUUUUAUAUUCAGACUCUAUUUAAUUUACUUUCACGUGUGCACAGAGUAACUGAUGCAAGAUGAAGUCCUGCGUCUUAAACAAUUGAAACAGGAAAACAUAUUUGAACUUUCCUGGUAAUUAUGCACAUGUGUAAGAUAACUGACAACACCAAGCUUUUUUGGACAGGCACUGCAGUAGUAAUAGUUGACAUGUAGCCAGUUUUUAAUAAACCUGUUUUGUGAACUGAGGCCUCGUGGCUCUCAGGAACACCUGGCAGCACUGAAUCAUCCAAGUAAGCACCCGCCCGUCUCAAUCUUCCCAAUCACCAUCCGCUGUGGCUGUACUCUGGCCACCUUGGCUCUGCCUUCACAUCCCUCGCUCCUCACUGAAACACUGUAGUCCAGGUCACAUCCUGUUCUCUGCUUGAGUAUCCAAAUUGAAGGUUUUUAGAUAAACAUUUUUAUAAUGCUAAUUUGGCAUAAUAGAGAUUUUUCUUAUUUUUUGGCUUUUAUAAUUAUAUACAAAACAAAUGUAUGACUACCUUGCUAAAGGUCUUUAAUAGCACACAGUUUUUAUAUUUGAAAAGUGUUUAUAUCUUUCUGUAAUUGUGCUUAGGUUUUAUUCUAUAGAUACCUAUUAUAUACAAAUAUAUAAAUAUAAAAUGUAUUACCGAUACCAAAAAUACAUCUCUUAAAGCUAAAACCGUUGCCUCCAUAUGCAGAGUUUUUCUGUGGGUGGGUGAACAUUUUCGUUCAGUUUGUGAAAUAGCUUCUGUUGGAAACCUGGCUUGCAAGGAAUGGGGAGUAGGAGCCUGAAGUGAAAGUCCUGUGUUUCUGUGGUUGCAGAGGUGGGCUGGGCAUGGAACCCAGGGCCCUCACGAGUCUGCACGAGCCACAGCUGAGCUGGUCCUCUAGCCCCAGAUUCUGAGCUUUGGUACAGUUCAAAAUUGAGCUGCCUUUGUUGUUGAUUUAUCAGCUGGAUAUUUAAAGCUUUCUAAAACCCAGUAAUUUGGAAACCUUAGUUAGUAGAUACUCUUACAUAAUCCAUUUAAAAAAUGCCAAUCACUGAGAACAUUUAAAUAUGUGCAUUUUGGUGGAGAUAUACAUAUUCAUACUAAUUUUUAUUGAGCUUUAUUAUAACUUACUCUUCCAGAUGCAUCUUUUUUUUUUUUUUUAAGCCCAGGAGUUUGAGACUGUCAUGGGCAACAUAAUCAGAUCAGGUCUCAAAAAGCAAAUUAAAUAAAUGAAUAAAUAAAUUCUGUUGGCCCUGGAAUGUUUAUGUGGUCCCUGCUCUUCAGCUGCAGAGACGGAAGUGCUUACCAUCCUUUCCGGGACACUCUCUCUGUAGAUUUCCAAAGUCAUGCCUGCAUUCAUGUGUAGUGUUUGAAAACCCU
rnacentral:lncRNA from 1 species